rnacentral:rRNA from 1 species
AGCGAACGCUGGCGGCAUGCCUAACACAUGCAAGUCGCACGGGUCGGCUUCGGCCGGUCCGGGGCGGACGGGUGAGGAACGCGUAGGUGCCUGUCCUCUGGGGGGGGAUAACCGCGGGAAAUUCUGGCUAAGACCGCUUUGGGCGCCGGUGUGAGAGCCGGUGUCAAAGGCGCGCAUCGUGAGGUGUGUUUCGUCGGGGGGUGAGCGCGCGUCCGGUUGGCGGGCUGGCGGGGUCGUGGCCCACCAAGGCGUCGAACGGUAGCUGGUGUGAGAGGGUGAACAGCCACACUGGGACAGAGACACGGCCCAGACUCCUACGGGAGGCAGGAGUGGGGAAUAUUGGACAAUGGGCGCAAGCCUGAUACAGCAAUGCCGCGUGGGUGAAGAAGGUCUUCGGAUUGUAAAGCCCUUUCGGCGGGGACGAUGGAGACGGUACCCGCAGAAGAAGCCCGGGAUAACUUCG